AUUGAACGCUGGCGGCAGGCCUAACACAUGCAAGUCGAACGAGUGGCGGACGGGUGAGUAAUGUCUGGGAAACUGCCUGAUGGAGGGGGAUAACUACUGGAAACGGUAGCUAAUACCGCAUACCAUCAGAUGUGCCCAGAUGGGAUUAGCUAGUAGGUGGGGUAACGGCUAACCUAGGCGACGAUCCAUAGCUGGUCUGAGAGGUUGACCAGCCACACUGGAACUGCGCAACGGGCCAGACUCCUACGGUAGGCAGCAGUGGGGAAUAUUGCAAAAUUGGCGAAAGCCUGAUGCAGCCAUGCGGCGUGUGUGAAGAAGGCCUUCGGGUUGUAAAGUACUUUCAGCGGGGAGGCGUUACCCGCAGAAGAAGCACCGGCUAACUCCGUGCCAGCAGCCGCGGUAAUAC
rnacentral:rRNA from 1 species